GAUGAACGCUAGCUACAGGCUUAACACAUGCAAGUCGAGGGGAAACGGCAUUGAGUGCUUGCACUCUUUGGACGUCGACCGGCGCACGGGUGAGUAACGCGUAUCCAACCUUCCCAUUACUGUGGGAUAACCUGCCGAAAGGCAGACUAAUACCGCAUAGUCUUCGAUGACGGCAUCAGAUUUGAAGUAAAGAUUUAUCGGUAAUGGAUGGGGAUGCGUCUGAUUAGCUUGUUGGCGGGGUAACGGCCCACCAAGGCGACGAUCAGUAGGGGUUCUGAGAGGAAGGUCCCCCACAUUGGAACUGGGACACGGACCAAACUCCUACGGGAGGCAGCAGUGAGGAAUAUUGGGCAAUGGACGGAAGUCUGAACCAGCCAAGUAGCGUGCAGGAUGACGGCCCUAUGGGUUGUAAACUGCUUUUGUAUGGGGAUAAAGUUAGGGACGGGUCCCUAUUUGCAGGUACCAUACGAAUAAGGACCGACUAAUUCCGUG
rnacentral:rRNA from 1 species